rnacentral:rRNA from 1 species
GGUGGAGCCCUAACGCUCGAACGAGGGGAUUCAGUAUCCAGUCCCGCCGACGCCGCGGGGCGAGGGAAAAGCUCGGCGCCGCCUUCGGGCGGUCCCCGGUGGCCCUCGCCUCGUUCUCGCGCUCGGCGGGGGGAGCGCACUUCCCCUCAAGUAGGACGCCGUGACCCGUUGGGCGUCCGCCUAAGGCCGGGGUGGGAGCCCGUAGCCCUCCGUGGCUGCGGACCCCCCGCGACCCGGCGGAACGCCCGACGGUUGUUCUUCGCGGGUUCAUCUGCCCGCGAGCUCUUUUGCUCGCGCCCGUUCCUCCGGCGAGCGUGCGUCGGGACCUCGCUUAGCGGACUCGUUCCGCGGCGAACCCGCCGCCGCUGUCUUGCUGGGGGGCUUCUCGGGCAGCAGGCAGUCCCGUCGACGGCGGAGAAAAAGGGUGGCCCACCCGGCCCGUCUUGAAACACGGACCAAGGAGUCUAACACGCACGCGAGUCGUCGGGCACCACUAAACCCGAGGGCGCAUUGAACGAAAAGGCAGGUCCUCCGCGGCCGGCCGAGGGAUGAUGGGAGCCCCCUCGGGGGCUCCUCGCAAUCCCGGGGCGUCUCGUCCUACGCGCGCUUGUCGCGCGAAGGUGAGGCGCACCAUGAGCGUGCGCGUUGGUACCCGAAAGAUGGUGAACUAUGCCUGGCCAGGACGAAGUCAGGGGAAACCCUGAUGGAGGUCCGUAGCGAUUCUGACGUGCAAAUCGAUCGUCAGAGCUGGGUAUAGGGGCGAAAGACUAAUCGAACC